rnacentral:rRNA from 1 species
UACAGAGGUCUCAAGCGUUGUUCGGAUUCAUUGGGCGUAAAGGGCGCGUAGGCGGCGUUGUAAGUCACUUGUGAAAUCUCUGAGCUUAACUCAGAACGGCCAAGUGAUACUGCAGUGCUAGAGUGUGGAAGGGGCAAUCGGAAUUCUUGGUGUAGCGGUGAAAUGCGUAGAUAUCAAGAGGAACACCUGAGGUGAAGACGGGUUGCUGGGCCAACACUGACGCUGAGGCGCGAAAGCCAGGGGAGGCAAACGGG